rnacentral:rRNA from 1 species
GACGAACGCUGGCGGCGUGCUUAACACAUGCAAGUCGAACGGAAAGGCCCUGCUUUUGUGGGGUGCUCGAGUGGCGAACGGGUGAGUAACACGUGAGUAACCUGCCCUUGACUUUGGGAUAACUUCAGGAAACUGGGGCUAAUACCGGAUAGGAGCUCCUGCUGCAUGGUGGGGGUUGGAAAGUUUCGGCGGUUGGGGAUGGACUCGCGGCUUAUCAGCUUGUUGGUGGGGUAGUGGCUUACCAAGGCUUUGACGGGUAGCCGGCCUGAGAGGGUGACCGGCCACAAUGGUACUGAGAGACGGCGCAGACUCCUACGGGAGACAGCAGUGGGGAAUAUUGCACAAUGGGCGGAAGCCUGAUGCAGCAACGCCGCGUGCGUGAUGACGGCCUUCGGGUUGUAAACCGCUUUCGCCUGUGACGAAGCGUGCGUGACGGUAAUGGGUAAAGAAGCACCGGCUAACUACGUG